rnacentral:rRNA from 1 species
CAGCAGCCACGGGAAUACGAAGGGGGCUAGCGUUGUUCGGAAUUACUGGGCGUAAAGGGCGCGUAGGCGGCCAUUCAAGUUAGAUGUGAAAGCCCUGGGCUCAACCUAGGAAUUGCAUUUGAUACUGUUUGGCUUGAGUUCGGGAGAGGUGAGUGGAAUUCCCAGUGUAGAGGUGAAAUUCGUAGAUAUUGGGAAGAACACCAGUGGCGAAGGCGGCUCACUGGACCGACACUGACGCUGAGGCGCGAAAGCGUGGGGAGCAAACAGGAUUAGAGACCCCGGUAGUCCCUGUCUCUUAUAC